rnacentral:rRNA from 1 species
AGCGAACGCUGGCGGCAGGCCUAACACAUGCAAGUCGAACGAAGUCUUCGGACUGAGUGGCGGACGGGUGAGUAACACGUGGGAACGUGCCUUUCGGUUCGGAAUAACUCAGGGCAACUUGUGCUAAUACCGAAUGUGCCCUUCGGUGGAAAGAUUUAUCGCCUUUAGAGCGGCCCGCUUCUGAUUAGCUAGUUGGUGGGGUAAUGGCCCACCAAGGCUACGAUCAGUAGCUGGUCUGAGAGGAUGACCAGCCACAUUGGGACUGAGACACGGCCCAAACUCCUACGGGAGGCAGCAGUGGGGAAUCUUGCGCAAUGGGCGAAAGCCUGACGCAGCCAUGCCGCGUGGAUGAUGAAGGUCUUAGGAUUGUAAAAUCCUUUCACCGGUGAAGAUAAUGACUGUAGCCGGAGAAGAAGCCCCGGCUAACUUCGUGCCAGCCGCCGCCGUAA